rnacentral:rRNA from 1 species
GCUCGUAGUUGGAUCUCGGCGGACAGAAGUCGGUCCGAAUGCUUUCGGUACUGGCUUGUUUGUCCGUGUGUUUUGCCAGAGGCAGGCGGGUGCUCUUCGCCGAGUGUCCGUCUGUGCUGGCAGGUUUACUUUGAAAAAAUUAGAGUGCUCAAAGCAAGCUCUCACGCUUGAAUAUUCGUGCAUGGAAUAAUAGAAUAGGAUGUCGUUUCUAUUUUGUUGGUUUUCGGAAAUCGACAUAAUGAUUAAUAGGGACAGUCGGGGGCAUUUGUAUUCAAACGACAGAGGUGAAAUUCUUGGACCGUUUGAAGACAGACUACUGCGAAAGCAUUUGCCAAGAAUGUUUUCAUUAAUCAAGAACGAAAGUUAGAGGUUCGAAGGCGAUUAGAUACCGCCCUAGUUCUAACCAUAAACGAUGCCAGCUAGCGAUCUGCAGGCGUUUUACUUUACGACCUUGCAGGGAGCUUCCGGGAAACCAAAGCUUGUGGGUUCCAGGGGAAGUAUGGUUGCAAAGCUGAAACUUAAAGGAAUUGACGGAAGGGCACCACCAGGAGUGGAGCCUGUGGCUUAAUUUGACUCAACACGGGAAAUCUCACCAGGCCCGGACACGAGAAGGAUUGACAGAUUGAUAGCUCUUUCUUGAUUUCGUGGGUGGUGGUGCAUGGCCGUUCUUAGUUGGUGGAGUGAUUUGUCUGGUUAAUUCCGAUAACGAACGAGACUCUGUCCUGCUAACUAGUGUCUGCUUCUUUUCUGAGCAGAUUAUUCUUCUUAGAGGGACUGGUAGCUCUUAGCUACACGAGAUUGAGCAAUAACAGGUCUGUGAUGCCUCUUAGAUGUUCUGGGCCGCACAC